GAUGAACGCUGGCGGCGUGCCUAAUACAUGCAAGUCGAGCGAACAGACGAGGAGCUUGCUCCUUUGACGUUAGCGGCGGACGGGUGAGUAACACGUGGGUAACCUACCUAUAAGACUGGGAUAACUUCGGGAAACCGGAGCUAAUACCGGAUAAUAUUUCGAACCGCAUGGUUCGAUAGUGAAAGAUGGCUUUGCUAUCACUUAUAGAUGGACCUGCGCCGUAUUAGCUAGUUGGUAAGGUAACGGCUUACCAAGGCAACGAUACGUAGCCGACCUGAGAGGGUGAUCGGCCACACUGGAACUGAGACACGGUCCAGACUCCUACGGGAGGCAGCAGUAGGGAAUCUUCCGCAAUGGGCGAAAGCCUGACGGAGCAACGCCGCGUGAGUGAUGAAGGUCUUCGGAUCGUAAAACUCUGAUAUUAGGGAAGAACAAACGUGUAAGUAACUGUGCACGUCUUGACGGUACCUAAUCAGAAAGCCACGGCUAACUACGUG
rnacentral:rRNA from 1 species